GUCCACGCCGUAAACGAUGAGUGCUAGGUGUCACGGGCUUUGACUCCUGUGGUGCCGUAGCUAACGCAUUAAGCACUCCGCCUGGGAAGUACGGCCGCAAGGCUAAAACUCAAAGGAAUUGACGGGGGCCCGCACAAGCGGUGGAGCAUGUGGUUUAAUUCGACGCAACGCGAAGAACCUUACCUAGGCUAGAAAAUACAGAAACCUGGCAGAAAUGUCGGAGUGCUCUUCGGAGAAUCUGUAGUUAGGUGCUGCAUGGCUGUCGU
rnacentral:rRNA from 1 species